rnacentral:tRNA from 1 species
ACUUAAAUAGCUUAUAUUUUAGAGCAUAAUAUUGAAGAUAUUAAUGAAAUUAUUAAAAUUUUUGAGUA